rnacentral:rRNA from 1 species
GACAGAGGGUGCAAACGUUGUUCGGAAUUACUGGGCGUAAAGCGCGUGUAGGCGGCCAUCUAAGUCGGGCGUGAAAUCCCACGGCUCAACCGUGGAAGUGGACACUCGAAACUGGAUGGCUAGAGGUCCUGGAGAGGAAGGUGGAAUGCUUGGUGUAGAGGUGAAAUUCGUAGAUAUCGGGAGGAACACCGGUGGCGAAGGCGGCGAUCUGGGUCGAUACUGACGCUGAGGUGCGAAAGCGUGGGGAGCAAACAGG